ACCACUAAAAAGAAAUGCUAGCCUACAUUUCUCGCUUCCCUCUUCGGGUUCCAGUGAGGAUGUUGCCCGGGAGCUCUGGUGCCCAGCCUGUGCAACAAGAUCGCUUCAUCUUACAGGGGGCAGCUAUGCUUGUUGGACUUGGGCUCUGCAUUUCUUCUUUCUCCCUCAAAAAACUCUCCGCUAUGCCUGAAAGACCAAGACGACUUUUGUAGAAUAUCUGAUGGAAAGUGUGUCACUAAAAUGCUGUUUACCAAUCCAUCAGAAUGGAUCAAAGCACUUGGCAUGCACAAUUUAACAUCGCUCGCCUCA